UGCAGAAUCCCGUGAACCAUCGAGUCUUUGAACGCAAGUUGCGCCCGGAGCCGUGAGGCCGAGGGCACGCCUGCCUGGGCGUCACGUGAAUGCUUGCUCCGUUCCUGUCAACCCGAGGAUGCAAUGCCUUGGUGGUCGGUGGACGGAAGCAGAAAUUGGCCAUCCGCGUUUAUCGUGGUGGGCUCAACGUCGGUCAUGGGUGUCGUCUCGUCACGACGGGUGGUGAGCGGCCUGUUGUGUUGCUAUGCACAUCGGAUGCUUUGCACGNCGUGCGAUCGGAGACCCGUGCUCUCGCACCCUCCUUGAGUGCUUCUUACCAUGGACGCACUCUAUCACAUGAUCCGACCCCAGGUCAGGCGCGGCCACCCGCUGAGUUUAAGCAUAUCAAUAAGCGGAGGAGAAGAAACUUACAAGGAUUCCCUUAGUAACGGCGAGCGAAUCGGGAAUAGCCCAGCUUGAGAAUCGGAUGGUUGCACCUUCCGA
rnacentral:rRNA from 1 species